rnacentral:misc_RNA from 1 species
CGCGACUCGAUAUUAUUUGGUUGCGGUGAUCGUCGUCGUGGCGGCGGCGAGAGUCGGCGCGGCGCUGGGCGAGAGUCGGCGCGGAGCUGGGCGCCGCCGUAAUGGGUGAUGCCCGAUACUGAUACACGUGGACCGCGCCAGACAGAAAGAGAGGAAAGAGUUCGCGACGGCGGACGUGUACGCCCGCCAGCGGUGGAGGCGAGUUCAGCAUCUCGCGAACGUCUUCUGGAACCGCUGGAGGAAAGAGGUCGUCCUCGCUGCGCAGGAGCGCCGCAAGUGGACGAAAACGACGGAGAACGUCGAGGUCGGUGACGUUGUCCUCGUCAUGGAUGACGAGCGCCCACGCUCUCAGUGGCCGUUGGCGCGAGUCGUCAACACGUAUCCGGGCAGUGACGGCCUGGUACGCAAGGUGCGCGUCCUGAUGAACGGCUCGGAGCACAGAAGACCGGUUCACCGGCUGGUGACCCUGCUCCGUGCGGCACCUGGAGGCUCGGCUACGUGCACCGCCGAGUGACUGUGCACCGCCGAGUGACUGUUCCGUGCACCGCCGAGUGACUGUUCCGUGCACCGCCGAGUGACUGUUCCGUGCACCGCCGGGUGACUGUUCCGUGCACCGCCGAGUGACUGUUCCGUGCACCGCCGAGUGACUGCUCUGUGCACCACCGAGUGACUUUGCCCCGUUCACUGCGGCGUGACUUUGCCCCGUGCACUAUCGUGUGACUGCUCGGUGCACUGUCGGGCUACGGACCCGGCAGGUGAUCACGUGUGCUUAUGGUACUGUGAUGAAUUGAGCGCAAGAUUCCCCGUCAAGGGAGCCAGAAGGACAAAUUUGGUUGAAUGUCCCAAAUUUGGGGGAGCCAUGUGCCCGCGACUCGAUAUUAUUUGGUUGCGGUGAUCGUCGUCGUGGCGGCGGCGAGAGUCGGCGCGGCGCUGGGCGAGAGUCGGCGCGGAGCUGGGCGCCGCCGUAAUGGGUGAUGCCCGAUACUGAUACACGUGGACCGCGCCAGACAGAAAGAGAGGAAAGAGUAUGUUAUGAUUUAUUUGAUAUUUAUGGUUCAGUUAUGACCUAAAUAAUGUAUUGUUGUGUUACUACAUUCUUUUGUUACUGAUUUAUAUUUAUUUAUCGUAACUUUGGCUGUGAUAUUUUGUGUGCUUUUUAUGAAUGAGCGCCAUGAUUGUAGUAUCUCAUGUGUUUACUCGACUGAUUGUGUUAUUUUUGUGUAUUUUCAGUUUUUACGUAACCACCAUUGGGCGAACAUUAGAAUAUACCUGUAGUCAGCACUGAA